GGCAUAGACCAUAACUGUGUUUUAAAUAAUUCUCAUUUCUACAGAAAGUGCAAUACAAGAUGAACACUUGAUAGAGGAGCAUGAAGUCAGUCUUUGCAUCAUUCAAGUGAAUCAAGUCAGAGGAGUGGUUUUCAACAACCCCUGUCUGCCGUGUGCUGAUUCCCGAUAACUUGGUUUUCAGAGAUUGAUAUGGCCUG
rnacentral:lncRNA from 1 species